rnacentral:rRNA from 1 species
UGGGGAAUAUUGCACAAUGGGCGGAAGCCUGAUGCAGCAACGCCGCGUGCGGGAUGACGGCCUUCGGGUUGUAAACCGCUUUCGCCUGUGACGAAGCGUGAGUGACGGUAAUGGGUAAAGAAGCACCGGCUAACUACGUGCCAGCAGCCGCGGUGAUACGUAGGGUGCGAGCGUUGUCCGGAUUUAUUGGGCGUAAAGGGCUCGUAGGUGGUUGAUCGCGUCGGAAGUGUAAUCUUGGGGCUUAACCCUG